UCCAGAGCUCGACCUAUCAGCUGCAGACCAAUGGGAAGCCCCCGGCUGGACAAGGCGGUUGGCACAGAGACUGCAGGCAAACCUGAUGAGAACAAAAGAAAUGUGAAAUAAGAGCAUAAGUCUACUGGAGGACAAGUGCGACACCUCUGAACUAAACACCAAGCCUGGCAUAAUGCUGAGUUCAAACUGAACCACAUUUACACGUCAAAUUGGCAUCCACAGGCUCUUUUGACUCGCGUCAAAUUCAGUGCUCAAUGCUUGAAUGUCUUCAUAAACUAGACGCUGCCGUCACGUGUGGGAGAAGGCACCAUCAAGAUCUGAGCCCCAUAGCUACAGGGAAGCCGUGGCUUAAUGCAUGGAAGACACAGAUGACGCUGAGAUCAGAUUUAUUUAUUUUGAAGAGCUCUUUAAAAGCUCUGCUAUCUGUCUGGGUUCAUGAGAUCAAUUAGUCUUUCUUUCCAGCGAUAACUACAGUCUAUACUGCAGGAGGCGGUUUCUGAAUGAAGGCACUUUCAGCCAUACUCUGUAACCCAGUUUGACAACUUUUUGUCUUACAUUAUCAGAGGAAGGAAAAAAUAAAAACAAGAAUAAAAAA